UGUAGAUUCACCCUUCUCUGAGGAGCUCUGUGUACAGAGAAGACAGCCAUCCCAGAGCUCUGGAUGACUCAGGUCCUGUCACUCCACUGUUCUUCUCAACUUCCAGAGAGAAAAGGCAGAACACAGUUUACCCUUACUGUUCUGGUCUCAUUUGCACAGUGCAGGUUUGUGCCUGAGCCCAGCUGUUCCCUUUCUCAUGUUCACCUGUUUUCCUCAUCCCACUCAUUACACACAAUGUCCUCCAGCUGUUGAUAAGUGAGACUGGGAAUGCAUACGAGCCAUGGCCUGAAGAGAAACCUGUUGAACUGAGGCUAAAAUUUCCCUUCAGGGAGCCAAGGGAUUUUUUUUUUUCUUCACUUACAAGAAAGAAGGGGCAGAAGCCAGCAAAGGAAGCCAGUGCAGCUGGCAAUGGAGGAAUUAGUCUGCUGGAAAAUACACUUUCCUCCCCACCUCAGUUUUAUAAAACUGACCAAAAGGCCAAGCCAGGAUAUGACAAAUUUUCCUUCCUAAAAGAUUGGCAAGGUCUCGUUGGAGCUAAGCCAGGAAUGCAGGGCAUCCAGAGGAAUUGCCUCCUUUGGCCUCUUCCAUCUCAGAGGCCACUGAGCAUGGUGAGAUACUUCAGCUCUCAUACCAUCCUGAUGGUUCCUACUUCUGGGUUUUGAUGAUGUUACCUUUAAAAUUACCAAACUGAUUUGCUAGGAGUCAAGUAGCCAUUGUCAAUCCGGUGUCCUAUAUCUGGAUGGUACAAGACAGGAAAAAUUAAAUAAAAAC
rnacentral:lncRNA from 1 species